rnacentral:rRNA from 1 species
UACGUAGGUGGCGAGCGUUAUCCGGAAUUACUGGGCGUAAAGCGUACGCAGGCGGCUUCUUAAGUCUGACGUGAAAGCUCCCGGCUUAACUGGGAGAGGUCGUUGGAGACUGGGGGGCUUGAGGCGAUGAGAGGGGUGUAGAAUUCCCGGUGUAGUGGUGGAAUGCGUAGAUAUCGGGAGGAAUACCAGUGGCGAAAGCGACACCCUGGCAUAGGCCUGACGCUCAUGUACGAAAGCGUGGGGAGCAAACGGG